rnacentral:rRNA from 1 species
GACAGAGGCCUCGAGCGUUAGGCGGAAUCACUGGGCUUAAAGCGUGUGUAGGCGGAUCGUUAAGUACCUUGUGAAAUCCCGCGGCUCAACCGUGGAACGGCUGGGUAUACUGGCGGUCUUGGGCCAUUCAGGGGCGACUGGAACAAGCGGUGGAGCGGUGAAAUGCGUAGAUAUCGCUUGGAACGCCGAAGGUGAAAACAGGUCGCUGGGGAUGUGCCGACGCUGAGACACGAAAGCCAGGGGAGCAAACGGG